rnacentral:rRNA from 1 species
UACGUAGGGUGCAAGCGUUGUUCGGAAUUACUGGGCGUAAAGCGUGCGCAGGCGGUUGUGUAAGUCAGGUGUGAAAUCCCCGGGCUUAACCUGGGAAUUGCAUUUGUGACUGUACGGCUAGAGUGUGUCAGAGGGGGGUAGAAUUCCACGUGUAGCAGUGAAAUGCGUAGAGAUGUGGAGGAAUACCGAUGGCGAAGGCAGCCCCCUGGGAUAACACUGACGCUCAUGCACGAAAGCGUGGGGAGCAAACAGG